UUCUUUUUUUCUUAGUAUCAGGAAGAAGUUUGUUUUUGUUUUUUGCAAUACCACUUAUUCUUUUUGAUAUUUCUGUAGAAGGAAAUGGAGGGAGUAGAGAUCCAAGCUAGCCAACCAGGUUCUGAUAUUUUGCUAUAAGGACGACAUGAUGCUUUUGCCCAAGUGCGAGGACGAGAUAAAGUAGGUCGUGUUCGAUGUCUAGGAAAUGGUGUAAAGCCAAAGAAAUAUUAGAGUGAAGAAUCAUCCACCAAUCCUACCACUGACCCAAAUGCUGAAGUUUUGAACCUUAGACAACAACUGGAGAAUUCUGUUGCAGAACAUCAAGCAGCAGUGCAACGGAUAGCUGAUUUGGAGGCACUUCUUGCGCAUGAUGAACUGGGAACUGCCAACACAGCUUAUUAGGAUUGCCAAACUGGAGGCAGAACUAAGGAAAUACAAGACUGUUACCCCAUCGACUGGCGCAGAGAUCAGGAACAGUCCAUGAAUGGAAGAUCUUGGUGCACAUAGAUAUAACUAUGGCGAGUCAGGUGCUUGUUUUUUUGAAUAAAAGGGAAUGGGAUGGCCUCUGUUUUUUGUUUUUAUGCCAUCAGGUGUGUUCUUAUCAUGUCCCAAACUUUCCAAAGGCAUUUUGGAUGUUGAUAAUCUUAGUUACCAGCUUUUUGAACUCUCUGGGUGUUGUUUUGUUUCCCAGAUUUAUGUUUUUUAAACAGUGAAACAUCUUACUGUUGUUUCUAUAGUGCAUCAAUGUACAACUUUGUUAGGAAUGGUAUAAGAAUUCUGCAAUGGAAGGUUAUCCAGUA